rnacentral:tRNA from 1 species
GCCUGGGUGGCUCAGUGGUUGAGCGUCUGCCUUUGGAUCAGGACAUGGUCCUGGGGUCCUGGGAUCAAGUCCCAAAUCAAGCU